UUUAACGAGAGUUUGAUCCUGGCUCAGGAUGAACGCUGGCGGCGUGCUUAACACAUGCAAGUCGAGCGCGGUCCCUUUGGUGCUUGCACCAGAGAAGACUGAGCGGCGGACGGGUGAGUAACGCGUGGGUAACCUGCCCUAUACACAUGGAUAACAUGCUGAAAAGCAUACUAAUACAUGAUAACGUACACUGAUGGCAUCUUCGGUGUAUCAAAGCGUUAGCGGUAUAGGAUGGACCCGCGUCUGAUUAGCUAGUUGGUGGGGUAAAAGCCUACCAAGGCCACGAUCAGUAGCCGACCUGAGAGGGUGAUCGGCCACAUUGGAACUGAGACACGGUCCAAACUCCUACGGGAGGCAGCAGUGGGGAAUAUUGCACAAUGGGCGAAAGCCUGAUGCAGCAACGCCGCGUGAAC
rnacentral:rRNA from 1 species